rnacentral:lncRNA from 1 species
CCAUCUAAACGCAGAGAGCAUCUCUUCCGAAUGCCUCACCACGGUCAGAGAGGGCGGAGAGAGAAGAAGUCGCCGCCACCGUCAAAAGCCGGAGUUCUCCUGGGUCGCUAGGAACCUGUACGCGAAGGAAUCAGGCGCGGUGAAGACUUUGUACCCAGGGUAUUGCUCAACGGAGCAGGAUCUCCGCCCCGGUGCCGCGAUUCGCCGUGAAUCGAAGCCUCCGCGCCAUCAGGUACUCCCCUGGCCUUCGCUACCAUCUUCCCCCUCCCUGCGUAGCAGUUCGUGGUGUCCAUCUUAGAGCAGUAGGGCAUGGGUAAUCGCUCACCGGAAUACGGAAGCCGCCGCAGAGGCGCCAUCGACGUGGCCAGCCUCGGCCUCCACUUCGUUGUCGGCAUGGAUGCGUUCUUCUAUUUUGCCCUGUCCACCGCUUCAUAUAAUGCUCGUCGGUAUAGGAAUGUUCGACCACAAGGGCGGCACUGCGGUGAUUUCCUGCCGGCGCAUGACCGUCGCGACAAUGGGCAGCGCCGCCGUCAGUGCGGAAUCGGGCAGAGUGGAGGAGUCCCAGGCUGUUCCAUUUAGGCAAUGUUAGUUGUGUGCUAAUUUAUAGGGAUUGAGCGAGAUUAAAUUCAGUACAAGUCAAAUUUCUCUAGAUCCCUUCUAAUUCUCAUCAAUCUCUAUGAUUUUAGAAUCAAACGGAACGUUUCAGAUUAGAUGAGAGGUAAUGGUUUGACAGGGGCGAUGUGUGUGGUUCGAUCAUGGAUGUGCGAUCACGAUCGUGGCAAUGACAUGGAUGUCUCUGGUCUGUUGAUCUGGAAUCCAACGGUGGAGUGUGCUACCGGUUCGGUCUCUAAUCUGAGUCGUGGUUCGGUGGCUGCAUGGCUCUAGAUCCGCUCAGGGUUAUAACAGUAGACUAUAACUACGAAAGCGUCCCUGAGUUUUUACAUAAUAGACCCAUCGAUUAUUCGUGUGCAAAUAAAUUGCAGAUGGAUCCUUGGUAUUUUCAAAAUAAACCCUAGAAGUUAUUUUAGGUAUAGAAUUAAUAUAAAAAUGCGUAAAAACUUGCAUAAAUCAUAUCUUGCUCAUUUUAACUCUGUUUUAUUUCGUUCAAGUUGCGUUAAGUUCGUAAUAAUAUUGCCUAAACUUUAGUUACAUUAUUUUUAUCACGCAACAUGUUUUCAAAAAUAAGUAACUAUACUUGUUUAACCUAAGUUUAUGGGAUUCACUUUUCUAAUCUAAGUAUAGUAUUUUAAUUUGACCCAUCUAUAAUUUGACUAAAAUAAGAUUUCUAAUCAAGAUAAAACUUGAAUUAAAAGUUAAAUUUGUUAUUUAUUUAGAAUAUCUUUUCUACACAUAAUUUGUAUUAAUCAAAAUAACAUAGUUCAAUACUUAAUCACAUAAAACUUCCAAAAACCAUAUCAUUUUAACUAUAACUUCGAUUUUAGUUGUUCUCGAAUCUAUGAUCUCGUAGCGACGUGUAAAAUAAUAAUGUGUGAAUUGUUUUCAUCUUUGGUGUAAUGUUACCAUAUCCAUUAUUUGCUUGAUUGUAUGUAUUGUUGCGCAUAGAAGCGAGAUGGCGAGGAAUCUGUCACACUUGAAUUUAAGGGGCAAAUCCAAGUGUGUCUCAUAUGUGCACAAUUGAUCUUAUUAACGAACUGGUAUGUUCUAUAGGAUCUUGGAUUAACGAUCAACGUCUGAGAUUUUAAGUCGCUUCGAUGAGCAAUUAGUGCAAUUCCAUGGAUGCUCCCGGUUAGUCGACUCAUGCCUAGGUUCUAUAUGCACCAGUGAUCGCCCCGAACCCAACCACGGGGUCACAUCGAUGGGGAUUGCGCGGAUCGACGAGUGACCGCUUACACACCCUUGUCUCCCUUUCUCGAUUCUCGGUGGUUGGUUAUCUCUGUACCUAGCUAGGGUUUGUUGGACAACGGGGGUGUCCUAACUUAUACCCUAGAGCAAACGAGAUGGGAAUCAGAAUCGGAUUUCACACCUCGGUUGUUGCUCGCGAGUUGGGAGAUGACCCUGUCCGGCGGUGUGGGGGAUGGAUAUCUACAGAGUCCACACGCGCAUGAAAACACGUCUAGGGCCACCUAGCAGGCAUCCCCUGGGGCAUCUUGUGGUGGGCCGUCCGAAAGUAACCAGGUGAAGCAAGCCCAUUCUGAACUAGUAAAGGCCAAUGUCCGAGUUAGGUGCCACGAGAGCACGUGUAUGUCAGGCAUGACGUUUGCGCCCACCCGACAUGCUAAGUCUCCGGCGGUAACUUGGGCGGAUGAGCGUAGUGAGUUCCUAAGAUGUAGGAGGACAAUUCGCUACAAAUCGGGAGAUUGGCGAACAUAUUACGUUUACCACUUGUGCGGGGAUAGCUAUCCUUGGCCGUGUAUAUAUGGCCAAAAAGCACCCCUACCAUUUCAUCUUGCCUCAUCCCACCGUUCUCAUAGUUCACAGCUUGUAAUCUCAUCACAAUACCAAGGUCCCCGCAGGACGUAGGGUGUUACGCCUCUCGCGCGGCCCGAACCUAUACAAGCUUGUGUGUUUCUCCCAUCGUGCCACCGCACGAACCAUCGAGUCACGAUUAACGACGCUGUCCUGCCCAAAAGCAUCACGAGGGUAACCCCGUGGUGUGCGGUCGGGUAACAAACACCAACAGCUAGCGCGCUAGGUAGGGGGGGGGCGACAUUGAUGAGCGCUGACUCCAUGGCAGUCACUUUCAAGAGCAUGAUCACCUUCAACCCAGGAGCAGUCUUCUGCUUCGAAACCAUCUCCGGUGUCACAGUGUAAAGCCCAAAACUUGUAUAGGAGAAAAAUAAUAAAAUAAAUAAAUAAAUGUAUGUACAUGUUGGUAAUUUGGGAUGAUGGAGCCCUAGGAGAUUAUUUGGUUACAUUUUCUUUUGUUUGUAUAUACAAUUGAUGGGAAUAAGUUAGGCAAUUAACAAAUAAAUAAAUAAUGAAAUAUGCAUCUCAUGCUGAGAUCUUGUAUUUUUGCAUUUAUAUUCAAAUUUGUGAGAUAAGUUUAAAUUUGGAAAAUUAGAAUUUUGAAAAUAGAAAUAGAAAGGAAGAAUAGAAAUUAUAAAUGAAAAAAGGAAGAAGCAGCCAGCUGGGCCGCCACUUCACUUUUUGGCCCAGUCAUCUACGCGCGCGGCUCAGCUCUCGUCUCCCCGCAGUGGUGCCGACAGCCUGGUCCUACAUGGCAGCCUCACCGGCCGUUCUUUCCGUGCGCGCGUUAUACUGGCAGCUAGGGCCCACUCGCCAGCCCCUCUCGGUUGGGCAGUCACUGCCGGUUGGGCCCACUUGGCGGGUUGCCGUCACCACCGAAGCUGGCGGAGCUCGUAACCACCUUCGUCGAUGUUGCCGGAGCUUUGGGGGCUGCCCGGAUGGGUUCUUGCUUCAUCCAUGGGAAUACAAACCCCCCAAACCUUCGUCCUCCUAACUCCUCCACCCGAAUCACACCCAGGAAUGUUGAGAGUCACGGCGAGUUUGCCAGGCAGUGAGGGUAUUGGGCCGCCGGACUCCCAUCGCGUAUUUGGCAUCGUCAGGUCCUCAAACUCGGGUUCGUGAGCUCAGCCAUGUCAUGGGGAAGUUGUCUAUGUCCUCGUCGGGCGGAGAAAUCAAUCGGGGAUCCCGGAAUUUCUCACCGGAGUCAUAGUAUCACGGUGAUGCCGCUCGUCGCCGCGGACCAGACCAUUCCCUGCGAUAAUUAGCGGUAAUUGCACAACAUCUAGUUCGUAAUCUGCUAUAGUACUUCUGGAUCCUUGGGCCGGUCGGGGGAGUACCUGUAGUGCUAUUUUGGGUUGCUCGCCGGCGAGCCCCGCUGUGGGGGGGAAGGGCGGUGGCGCGUUCGGCCGCCACGGGGAGAAGACGAUAGCCGCCUACCGUCCGUUCCAUAGUGGACGGAUGAGAUUAGAUGGGGAUCUGUGAUGGUUCGGACCGUUGAUCUGGUCGCGGUCGGCUCGGAUUAGGUAGAGGAAACGUUUCAGCACGGAUGAAUCUGUGUCGUCCGAUCUAGAUUGGACGAGUACAGUCUUGUCUCGAGUAUUUAAAAUAUACACAGCUGAACCCUAGGUCUAUGGCUGUGAUUUGAUCAAAGGAUAUCCCUUCAUCGUAUUAAAUCCAAGACAUCAGUCUGAGAUCAAGCGGUUCGAGGUAGGUUAGGGUCAUGCGCGAUCAUCGACCGUGGAUCUUAGAUCGUGUGGUCUACAUAAGAUACCGGUUCUAUUAACGACCGAUCUAAUCCAUGACGUCUAAUGUUGAUCGGGCAUUAGAGAUCUGGUUAUAUCCCUUCGAGGAUGUAACUUUGCGUAAGAGCCCCCGUGAAAAAUAGAAACUAACCCGUCGUCCACGCUGUAUGUAAAGUAGCUACGUCCGUGCCCUGGAAAUUCAUAAAACAACCCCUGGACUUCUUCAUUUUUAUGGACGCAAUCCAAGUUAAUCUCGAAUUCAAUAAAUUAAAACAGAAAAUGAUUUUUAUAUUAAAAUAAUUCUAGAAACUUGUUUAAAUCAUAGUAAAUCCAUUUAACUCCUUUUUGAUUCAUUCUAGUUGCAAUAAUUUUUUAUUAAUAUUGUCUAUCAACUGGUAACUCAGUUUUAUCAUGAAAUAUAGAUUAAAAUUAUUCAUUUGGUUUAUUCUAUAUCAACCACUUAAAACUUUGGAAAAUCAUAACUCUUUAACCGUAGCUCGAAUUUAGUGGUUCUCGAACUCGUGGUCUCGUUACGAUACGCAGAAUAUUAUAAUGCAUUAUAUUCUUCUGUUUGGUGUGUUGUUAAUUUCUCCUUUACCAUGUUUGUUUGUAUUGUUGCGAGUAGGCGAGCAAGCAACCGAGGACCCCCGUACCCAGCAGGUGGAAAAUACUGAGCAGGUGCUCGUUGAAGGCAAGUUGUGCCCUUGACCACUUUUAUUUACCUAAUAAUGUUCUCUAUAGUCACUAUGGCAUGUUUAAGCUCAAUUUUGAUGGGACCCAAUAGGUCACCCUAGUCUGCUUUACCAUAUGCCUUAUUCACCACUGAACUUUUUUGGGUAGUCUUGCUAUUGCUAUAUGUGGUUUUAGGUGUUGAUAUAAAAUUGACACAUGAUCAUUCUUUAUUAUUACUAUUGAUUAUUUAUUGUUCAUGAUAAGAUUACUAUGUUAAUUGGAACAUGGAGAACCACCCAGGAAAACAGUGCUACCACAAGGGUGGAAUGGGAUACCCUUGGCCAAGUAAUUAGGAAAACUAGGGAAGGAUUACAUUACCGGAAAGAGGCAAGCGGGGAGGCGUCGCUGCAGAGUAUAGGGAGGUUCUCGGGUCGGACUGCCUAGCUUUCCGGACGGGGGAUUCUGAAAGUCGCCUAGAGUGAAUAGGCGAAACCUGAAAACUAUAACUUUAAACCCGGACUUGAUCCCUUGAUCAGUGAUUAGAGCAAGAUGCACAAUUAUCGGAAUAUAAAACUAAGUCCUUUGCUUGCAAAUAGCAUUGUUUUCAAAGAAUGCGAAAUUAACAAAUCAGUACAACUAAUAAGUUUAUGGAAAAUAAAGCAAGAGGGCUUGGAUAAGAAGAGGAAUAACACAAGUUCUUUCUUACAAGGAGUUGCUUCUCUAAAUGAGAAUUUAACUUGAAGCAACACAAAAUAAUAUUAGCAAGGAAUAAUGCAAGAGAACUUAGAGAGGGAGAAUACAAACAAAUCACAAGCAAUAAACACAAGUGACACGGGUGAUUUGUUUUACCAAGGUUUGGUUCACCAAGAACCUAAUCCCUGUUGAGGAGUUCACUAAGGACAUGUCUUUUUCAACCCUUUCCCUCUAUCUACCGAUCACCAAGACCGGCGAGCUCUUCUUCUUAAUCUCAAGGAUCACUAAGACCCCACAAGGACCACCACACUCUUAGGUGUCUCUUGCUAGCUUUACAAGUCUCCAAAAUAUUAGAGGAAGAUGAAUGGGAGUCAAAACUCCACGCUUAAAUGAUCACAAGAACACACUUUCUCUCAAUGAUUCUCACAAGGCACUAUCGCUAAACUCACACGAGUAGCUCUCUUUUGCUUGAUCUCUCUUUUGUGGCACUUGUGAGGCUUUUUUGUGGCCUAAAUCUUGUGUAUGAGAUAGAUCAAUGAAUGGAGGUGGUUGGUAGGGCUUGGAUAUGUCAAUUAUAUGCCUUGAUAUGUUGCUUGGGCUCCCACACCUUGAAAUGGCCGGUUGGGUGGUAUUUAUAGCCACCAACCAUCUUGUAGCCAUUAGGGAAGGCUGCUGGCGAUGGGCGCACCGGACAGUCCGAUGCGCCACUGGACAGACACUGUUCCUUUUCCGGUGCGCCACCACGUCACCCAACCGUUGGAGCUUUGUCUUCUUGCGGCACCGGACAGUCCGGUGCCAUAUGACUUCGCGGCUCUGACUUCUGCCAUGCACUGUAGCUCACUGUAGCACUUUGCAGAGUCGACCGUUGCGUGCAGAUAGCCGUUGCCCACUGGCUAACCGGACACCGGACUGUCCGGUGAAUUAUAGCGGAGUGCGCCUUCGUUUUCUCGAGAGUGGCUGGUUUGAGUUGUACGGUCCUGGUGCACCGGACACAGUCCGGUGCGCCAUUCUUCAGCACACUCAAGUCCUUUUGCUCCGAUUAAAUUGUGUCCCUAACUUGAUUCUUUUAUUGGUUUGUGUUGAACCUUAUGCACCUUUAACACAUAAAUUCUAGACAAACUAGUUAGUCCAUAGGUUUGCGUUGGUCGUCAACCCCAAAAUUAAUUAUAGGAAAUGGUUAACCCAAUUUCCCUUUCAGAUUCCUAUGCUUCUUUAUUCCUGAAUCCGUAGCGGGUUUUCUCGAACUAGUGGAACUUUGGAAAGGUCUCGUAGCGCUACCCUGCCUCGUCUCCUCGGUAGAGAUGAAUGGGACUUCUAGACCCCUUGGCAAAUGGAUAGCAUGACUUGUGGGUAAAGAUGCGCAACCUCUGCAGAGUGUAAAACUGGUAUAUCAGCCGUGCUCACGGUCAUGGGCGGCUCAGACACUCACAUGAUUAAUUUAUGGAAGUAAAUUCAAUUUGUCAUUUGCAUCGCAUUGUGGUUUAUUAUUAAUUUUGAUCUACUAUUACUUUGGGUUGGUAUACACUUAUAUUUAGUAACUGCUAUAAAAUUUGACCAAUUUAUUAAAAGCAAUGCUCAGCUUUAACCAUUAAUUGUUGAUCAGCCUUACACUACACAUGAACUCCCACCUUUGGUGAGUUCAUGCACAUUAUUCCCCACAACUUUUUGAGCUAUGAUCUUUUGUGAGCUCACACUUGCGAUAUAUAACCCCCACAGGUGAAGAGCAGGUAGUCUAGGAGGAGGUCUACAACGAGGAAUACAAGCUUAUCUAGGUGGCGUCUCCUAGUCAGGCUGAUGGCGCCAAGGAAUAAUUAUUAGUUCGCUUUAUUAGUAUCAUUUAUUUUUAUAAGACACUUCCGCUAUGUAAUAAUAUUUAUGACAUUUAUCUCUAUACACUUGGUCAAUAUAUGUGCUGUUCUUCUUUGGCAC